AGCGAACGUUAGCGGCGGGCCUAACACAUGCAAGUCGAACGAGAAUAGGGGAGCAAUCCCCUUAGUAAAGUGGCGGACGGGUGCGUAACACGUGGGUGAUCUACCUUCCGGCGGGGGACAACAGUCCGAAAGGAUUGCUAAUACCGCGUACGUCAGCGAGGUCUCCGGACCUUGCUGGGAAAGAUGGCCUCUCUUUAGAAGCUGUCACCGGAAGAUGAGCCCGCGGCCCAUCAGCUAGUUGGGAGGUAACGGCUCACCAAGGCUAAGACGGGUAGCUGGUCUGAGAGGAUGAUCAGCCACACUGGGACUGCGACACGGCCCAGACUCCUACGGGAGGCAGCAGUGGGGAAUAUUGGGCAAUGGGCGAAAGCCUGACCCAGCCACGCCGCGUGAGUGAUGAAGGCCU
rnacentral:rRNA from 1 species